rnacentral:rRNA from 1 species
UGCCAGCAGCCGCGGUAAUACGUAGGUCCCGAGCGUUGUCCGGAUUUAUUGGGCGUAAAGCGAGCGCAGGCGGUUUAAUAAGUCUGAAGUUAAAGGCAGUGGCUUAACCAUUGUUCGCUUUGGAAACUGUUAGACUUGAGUGCAGAAGGGGAGAGUGGAAUUCCAUGUGUAGCGGUGAAAUGCGUAGAUAUAUGGAGGAACACCGGUGGCGAAAGCGGCUCCCUGGUCUGUAACUGACGCUGAGGCUCGAAAGCGUGGGGAGCAAACAGGAUUAGAUA